rnacentral:lncRNA from 1 species
AUCCCUCUAGCACAAGAUCUCUUGUGAAACACAUGCGUGCAUAUAAUGUGAUUUGAUGGUGAUUUAUUAGUUUGAGUUUACAAAUUUCAUAAAUAUAAUGUGUACUAAUAUCCAUUGUUUAGUUUAUAGUUUGAGUCAAAAAAAUUGGCCAACUAAAGUCAUGGAUUGCCUGAAAGCUGAUUUGACAUUAUUUAAAAAAAAGAAAAACAAAGAAAAUUACACCUCUGCACCUCUCUCCCCCCUUUGUUCUUUCCCCACCCCACAACCUUCCCGCCGCAGCUGACACUCUUCGUGUUGCCGGAAAAUCGAUAGGGAUGUCAGAAUCAUGCUUGUGCACCAAAAGCAUUUCCUAUUUCAAAAUUAUUUGAAAAAUCCCUCAAUUUUGGUGCCUGCGAAACCAGCCACCCAUUGUUUCCAAGGAGCUAAGAGAUUUGAUAUCAAGAAGAGUGAUUUUAGAAAAGCAGAAUCUGAAUAUUGAGAGUAGUUUGUGCAAAAACCACCAAAGUUAAUGGACUAAUCAGUUUGAAGAACGGAUGACCUCAAUGCCUUAACAUUGGGUACCUCACUCUGUAAACCCUCAAAAUUCAUGAAGUCUCCAAAUUUUUAGAAAUUAAAUUAACCAAAUCCACAAAUUUCUUUGAAAAGUAUAAAUUUUAUUGUAUUUUAAUAGUGUCAAACCAACUUCCAGCAAUCCAAGUCAGUUUUAGUGGACAGAAAAUCUAACGGGGGCUAUAAAGUGAACAACAAAGAUAAAAUCAUUUUAUUUUUAAAAUUUGUACUAAAAAGUCACUAUAAUAUCAAAGUUGAAACUAUAAUUUAAGAAUGAUCCAUAUACAUAAAUAGCUCCAUACUGAAAAUAGUGGUUUUGAGUGGUGAUCAAUAUGCGACAAAUGAAGGGGCGCUCAAGAAACAUUACAUGCUGGAGCACACAGUCAAUAAAUUAGAAACGAAAAGUUUGUUACAAAAAAAUAAAAUGAAAGAAAUAAAAUGGUACGUAGCUCUCUCUCGCAAUGGAUAUGCCAAUCCAAAAAUGAAUUCAUUACGUAAGGAAGUAAAUUAAUUAGGUAGAUGUUGAGACAAAUGGAUAAUGCGUGACGACACUCAUAAAUAAUUCAAUUAAGAGAGAGAAAUGCAGAAACAAGCGUUUGCCCAGCAGUUAAGUUGCAACUGCUUUCUAUGGAUGGAAGAGUGUCUACUUAAAACGUUAGAAUAUAUCAUUGAACGUUGUCCUUGUUAAGAGUAGGAUGAUUUUAAUAUGAAUAUAUAUAUAUAUAUGUAUUUUAGUUUCAAGUAAAUGGUGGCAUGGCAUGCAUGUGUUUUGUGUGUGUAGAGGUGAUAAACAAAUUAAGGUUACGCGAAAGGAGACGAAGUGGUAAGGGGCGGCGGCGGCGGCGAUGGCGGUGGGAUGGUUGACAGAAUAAAGAGAGCACAUUUCCACAAAAAGCAAAGACCCUCAACUGUUUGCCAAUGGCGGCAUGUGCUCUCUCUCUUCUGUCAACAACUUUCCCUAUUUGUCAUCAUCAACGAUUCCCACCUACAUCGUUUCCAAAACAACCAAAUUAAUAAAUGCACAAGCAAGAUGCAGAUUAUCCAAUGGAGAAGAAGAAGAUCAUCAAUUAUCACAUCCAUCUUUCUCUCUAUAUAUAAUAUGGCCUCAUGCAUAAUCAAACAAGAAAAAACUUGCCUGAAAAAUAUCAACAACAUUUACAUGCCUGCAUGUGCCACGCUGAGAGAGAGAGAGAGAGAGAGAGAGAGAUGAAAGGAAGAUUCAUGUGGUGGUUGCAUUGCAAGUGCCAAAUUUAUAGAGGGAAGACCUAGCCAUUGAGGAGAUUCGCAUUCUUAUAUCAUAUAAUUAUAAUAUGAUAUAUACUUUUUCAUCAUACUCCAUUUUCUUCAAAACUAAUAUCCAAAUACCUAUAUAAAUAUCACACAUGUAGCAUUAAUUAUUUGUCAAAUCACAACCCUACCUAGCACAUUUAGGGUGGAAAUUUGCAUACUAAUAUUGUUAAAUUGGUUGACUUAUAAUAAAGAAAUACAUAUAGCUCUACAAGUAUUCAUCCCAUUAGAAUUGAUACUCA